GAUGAACGCUGGCGGCGUGCCUAAUACAUGCAAGUCGAGCGAACAGAUGAGGAGCUUGCUCCUCUGACGUUAGCGGCGGACGGGUGAGUAACACGUGGAUAACCUACCUAUAAGACUGGGAUAACUUCGGGAAACCGGAGCUAAUACCGGAUAAUAUAUUGAACCGCAUGGUUCAAUAGUGAAAGACGGUUUUGCUGUCACUUAUAGAUGGAUCCGCGCCGCAUUAGCUAGUUGGUAAGGUAACGGCUUACCAAGGCGACGAUGCGUAGCCGACCUGAGAGGGUGAUCGGCCACACUGGAACUGAGACACGGUCCAGACUCCUACGGGAGGCAGCAGUAGGGAAUCUUCCGAAAGGGGCGAAAGCCUGACGGAGCAACGCCGCGGGAGUGAUGAAGGUCUUCGGAUCGUAAAACUCUGUUAUUAGGGAAGAACAAAUGUGUAAGUAACUAUGCACGUCUUGACGGUACCUAAUCAGAAAGCCACGGCUAACUACGU
rnacentral:rRNA from 1 species